GACGAACGCUGGCGGCGUGCUUAACACAUGCAAGUCGAACGGAAAGGCCUGUCCUUCCUUGUGUUGGACGGUUACUCGAGUGGCGAACGGGUGAGUAACACGUGAGUGAUCUGCCCCCAACUUGGGUAUAAGCCUGGGAAACUGGGUCUAAUUCCCGAUAGGACUGCAGGGUGGUGCCUGUGGUGGAAAACGAUUUUCUAGUGGUUGGGGAUGAGCUCGCGGCCUAUCAGCUUGUUGGUGGGGUAAUGGCCUACCAAGGCGGCGACGGGUAGCCGGCCUGGGAGGGUGGACGGGCACAUUGGGACUGAGAUACGGCCCAGACUCCUACGGGAGGCAGCAGUGGGGAAAAAUGCACGAUGGGCGGAAGCCUGAUGCAGCGACGCCGCGUGGGGGAUGACGGCCUUCGGGUUGUAAACUCCUUGCGACCGCGAGGAAGCCGCCUGGUUGGAAGGGUGGUGACGGUAGUGGUAGAAGAAGCACCGGCUAACUACGUG
rnacentral:rRNA from 1 species